UUCUCAAAAUCCCUCAGCUCUGAAAGGAAAUUCUGUCCUCCACACCAGCGAUCUCUUCGCCGAUUUCAGGAAGUGCAAAAUCCUGUCGUUUCUAGCUUAUUUGCUGGAUUUGAGCAGUUUUUGCAUUGCAAUAUCAGCGAUUAGGGUUUGGUGUUCUAUCUAAGAGCAAAACCUUGUUCUCUGCUGCGAAAUCUGCUCCUCCAUUGCUGAUUUCCGUGCAGGCUAGAUAAACAAGGGGCAUAUACACCGAUAUCAGCUCCUCAUCGAACCGAACCCUAGCUCUUCUCUAUGUCUUCUCCAAUAUUUCUCUCGUCUUUCUCAGAUCUACCUCCUCUCUCUCUCUCUCUCUCUCUCUCCCCGAUCAUUAGAUCCUCAAAAGACAUUUGAUUAUUCAUUUGAAGAAGUUACUUAGAUUCACAGUUGGCAUUAUUUGAGGACAGAGGAAAGGUUUUAACUUUCAAUCAGGUG